UACGUAGGGUGCGAGCGUUGUCCGGAAUUAUUGGGCGUAAAGGGCUCGUAGGCGGUUUGUCGCGUCUGCUGUGAAAACCCGAGGCUCAACCUCGGGCCUGCAGUGGGUACGGGCAGACUAGAGUGUGGUAGGGGAGACUGGAAUUCCUGGUGUAGCGGUGGAAUGCGCAGAUAUCAGGAGGAACACCGAUGGCGAAGGCAGGUCUCUGGGCCAUUACUGACACUGGAGAAGCGAAAAGCAUGGGGAGCGAACAGG
rnacentral:rRNA from 1 species